GACGAGCCUCACAAACGUUAUUCGGAAUUACUGGGCUUAAAGGGUGCGUAGGCGGCGCAGAAAGUAGGGUGUGAAAGCCCUCGGCUUAACCGAGGAAUUGCGCUCUAAACUACUGUGCUUGAGGAACCUAGAGGUGAGCAGAACUGAUGGUGGAGCGGUGAAAUGCGUUGAUAUCAUCAGGAAUACCGGAGGCGAAGGCGGCUCACUGGGGGUUUUCUGACGCUGAGGAACGAAAGCCAGGGGAGCGAACGGG
rnacentral:rRNA from 1 species